AUCUUUGCGCAGAGGCAGUAUCGUAGCCAAUGAGGUUUAUCCGAGGCGCGAUUAUUGCUAGUUGAAAACUUAUCCCAAUACCCCGCUCUGACGACGUGAAAAAGACUGAUAUUAAGAGAAAGGAAAAUGGAAAGAAAUAAUAAUAAU
rnacentral:snRNA from 15 species